UCAAGCUACAAAGGGCGCAUGGUGAAUGCCUUGGCAUCAGGAGCCGAUGAAGGACGUGAUAAGCUGCGAUAAGCUUCGGGUAGGCGCACAUAGCCAGAGAUCCGGAGAUUUCCGAAUGGGGAAACCCGCAUGAGAAACCUCAUGCAUCGUAAAGUGAAUACAUAGCUUUAUGAAGGAACACCUAGGGAACUGAAACAUCUAAGUACCUAGAGGAAGAGAAAGAAAAAUCGAUUUUCUUAGUAGCGGCGAGCGAAAAGGAAAGAGCCCAAACCAGAGAUUUAUCUCUGGGGUUGCGGACAGAACAUAACGUGAAAUUAUGAUUAACCGAACACAACUGGAAAGUUGGACCAUAGGAGGUAAUAGUCCUGUAAGUAAAAGUCAUAAUGAUCAGUUCUGCACCAGAGUACCACGAGACACGUGAAACCUUGUGGGAAGCAGGGAGGACCACCUCCCAAGGCUAAAUACUACCUGAUGACCGAUAGUGAAGCAGUACCGUGAGGGAAAGGUGAAAAGAACCCCGGGAGGGGAGUGAAAUAGAACCUGAAACCAUGUGCCUACAACCGAUCAAAGCACCUUAUGUGUGUGAUGAUGUGCUUUUUGUAGAACGAGCCAACGAGUUACGGUAUGUAGCGAGGUUAAGUACUUAAGGUACGGAGCCGAAGGGAAACCGAGUCUUAAUAGGGCGACUAGUUGCAUGCUGUAGACCCGAAACCGGGUGACCUAUCCAUGGCCAGGUUGAAGCGAGGGUAAAACCUCGUGGAGGACCGAACCACGUUGCUGUUGAAAAAGCAUGGGAUGAGCUGUGGAUAGCGGAGAAAUUCCAAUCGAACUCGGAUAUAGCUGGUUCUCCUCGAAAUAGCUUUAGGGCUAGCGUCGUGAAAUGUGAGUACUGGAGGUAGAGCACUGAAUAGGCUAGGGGGCAUAGCGCUUACCGAACCUUAUCAAACUCCGAAUGCCAGAUACUAUCAGCACGGCAGUCAGACUAUGAAAGAUAAGUUCCAUGGUCAAAAGGGAAACAGCCCAGAUCGUCAGCUAAGGUCCCAAAGUGUAAGUUAAGUGGAAAAGGAUGUGGGAUUUCUAAGACAACUAGGAUGUUGGCUUAGAAGCAGCCACUCAUUAAAAGAGUGCGUAAUAGCUCACUAGUCAAGAGAUCCUGCGCCGAAAAUGUCCGGGGCUCAAACUUACCACCGAAGCUACGGGUUCAUACUUUGUAUGAGCGGUAGAGGAGCGUCGUAAUCGGGCUGAAGUCGUACCGUAAGGAGCGGUGGACUGAUUACGAGUGAGAAUGUUGGCAUUAGUAGCGAGAUGUAGGUGAGAAUCCUACAGGCCGAAUAUCUAAGGUUUCCUGAGUAAAGUUUGUCUUCUCAGGGUUAGUCGGGACCUAAGGCGAGGCCGAGAGGCGUAGUCGAUGGACAAUUGGUUGAUAUUCCAAUACCACUAUAAUCGUUAUUAUCGAUGGUGUGACGGAGAAGGAUAGGAUGUGCCAGCUAUUGGAUGCUGGUCUAAGCGUUGAGGGAGUUAGAACAGGCAAAUCCGUUCUAACAAUCCUAGGGCGUGAUGGGGAAGGUUCCACGGAACCGAAGUAUCUGAUUUCAUGCUUCCAAGAAAAGCAUCUAGAAAGAGAAGUAGUGCCCGUACCGCAAACCGACACAGGUAGAUGAGGAGAGAAUCCUAAGGCCGACGGAAGAAUCACAGUUAAGGAACUAGGCAAAUUGACCCCGUAACUUCGGGAGAAGGGGUGCCUACCAUCUGGUAGGCCGCAGAGAAUAGGCACAAGCAACUGUUUAACAAAAACACAGGUCUCUGCUAAAGCGUAAGCUGAUGUAUAGGGGCUGACGCCUGCCCGGUGCUGGAAGGUUAAGGGGAACACUUAGCGCAAGCGAAGGUGUGAACUUAAGCCCCAGUAAACGGCGGCCGUAACUAUAACGGUCCUAAGGUAGCGAAAUUCCUUGUCAGGUAAGUUCUGACCCGCACGAAUGGCGUAAUGACUUGUGCACUGUCUCAACUGUGAAUCCGGCGAAGUUGUAGUGCGAGUGAAGAUGCUCGCUACCCGCGAUUGGACGGAAAGACCCCGUAGAGCUUUACUGUAGCUUAGCAUUGAAUUUCGGUAUUGUCUGUACAGGAUAGGUGGGAGACUGGGAAAUUAGGGCGUCAGCCUUAAUGGAGUCGUUGUUGGGAUACCACCCUGAUAGUAUUGAAGUUCUAACUGGAUGCCAUGAAACUGGUGACAGGACAUUGUUAGGUGGGCAGUUUGACUGGGGCGGUCGCCUCCUAAAA
rnacentral:rRNA from 1 species